rnacentral:rRNA from 1 species
AGAGUUUGAUCCUGGCUCAGAAUCACGCUGGCGGCGUGCCUUACACAUGCAAGUCGAGCGAGAAAGGGGCUUCGGCCCUGAGUAAAGCGGCGCACGGGUGAGUAACACGUGGGUAAUCUGCCCUAGAGUGGGGAAUAACACCGGGAAACCGGUGCUAAUACCGCAUACGAUCGCGAUGUCUUCGGAUGUUGUGAUGAAAGGAGCAAUUCGCUCUUGGAGGAGCCCGCGGCUGAUUAGCUAGUUGGUGAGGUAAUGGCUCACCAAGGCAACGAUCAGUAGCCGGUCUGAGAGGACGGUCGGCCACACUGGAACUGAGACACGGUCCAGACUCCUACGGGAGGCAGCAGUGGGGAAUUUUUCGCAAUGGGGGCAACCCUGACGAAGCAACGCCGCGUGGGUGAUGAAGUAUCUCGGUACGUAAAACCCUUUCGACGGGGAAGAAACCGCAAGGUUGACGGUACCCGUAGAAGAAGCCCCGGCUAACUCCGUGCCAGCAGCCGCGGUAAGACGUAGGAGGCGAGCGUUAUCCGGAUUCACUGGGCGUAAAAGCGCAUGUAUGCGGUUCGACAAGUCGUGUGUGUAAGCCCCUGGCUCAACUGGGGGAGGUCAUGCGAGACUGUGGGACUGGAGGGCAGCAG